rnacentral:rRNA from 1 species
AUUGAACGUUGGCGGAAUGCUUUACACAUGCAAGUCGAACGGCAGCACGGGGGCAGCCCUGGUGGCGAGUGGCGAACGGGUGAGUAAUACAUCGGAACGUGCCCGGUCGUGGGGGAUAACGUAGCGAAAGUUACGCUAAUACCGCAUACGAUCUGAGGAUGAAAGCGGGGGACCUUCGGGCCUCGCGCGAUCGGAGCGGCCGAUGUCAGAUUAGGUAGUUGGUGGGGUAAAGGCCUACCAAGCCGACGACCUGUAGCUGGUCUGAGAGGACGACCAGCCACACUGGGACUGAGACACGGCCCAGACUCCUACGGGAGGCAGCAGUGGGGAAUUUUGGACAAUGGGCGCAAGCCUGAUCCAGCCAUUCCGCGUGCAGGACGAAGGCCUUCGGGUUGUAAACUGCUUUUGUACGGAACGAAAAGGCUCUGGCUAAUACCUGGGGCUCAUGACGGUACCGUAAGAAUAAGCACCGGCUAACUACGUG